CCACAUUCUAUUCACUGGAAGUGAAUCCAGUGAAUAGACUCACUGCACUGAAAUUUUGGCCUGCACUGAAAUUCAAGGAAUUGGGUUCUACCUUUUGAGGACUAUCAAAUAAUCUGUGGGCAUAUUUUAAAACCACCAAUCUUCUGUGACAUGUUGUUUUGAUUGACAUAUAUUAAGAAAUGCCAGCCUCACACUGUUGGAAAAGGGAGUAUCUUAAUAGCCUUUUCAGAAAAGUGUGUGUAUUUUUUAGGAACUAUACCAAAUGGUGGUUUUUAAAAGCCCCUGGCAACCAAGAUUCUAUUCUUUGUUUCUGUGAGUUUGACUACUUUUGAAACCUCAUAUAUGUUGCAUCAUGGAGUUGUAUUUGUCCUCCUGUGAUUGGCUAAUUUCACUUUCCAUAAUGGCCUCCAGGUUCAUCUAUCUUGUAGCAUGUAACUAGGUUUCCUUCUUUUUCAAGAAGAGAUUGUCUCCUGACUUAUUACGUUAUGUAGAUAACUUUAUAAAAAGAUUUACUUAAAGUAUUCAAAUGUAAUUCAUGCAGAUGAUAGAACUUACUUUAAAAUAAUUUUUAAGAACCACGUACUCCAAUUUAACGACAUUAGUGUACUGCUGUGCCCUUGUUAUUAAAGUUGGUAAAUUUUCUACAGUACAGGGCAUGUUAAUAAGUCAUGAAAUUAAAAGUGAAAGAAAUGUUUUUGUUCUAAUUGCCCCCCUUCCAAGGUUUUUGUUUGUUUGUUUUGCAAGUUUCAGUGAAUCAGAACCAGGUCUAUGUUAAAGUUGUGAAACAUUAACUCAACAGAAUAGAGUCAGUAGGAGACCUGGUGUUCAGAGGUCCCUGAAAUCCUUUGAUUUUUUUUUUUCUCAAACUAGUUUGAAUCUUUGUGCCAUAUUAUUCAUCGUGCUGUGCACUGGCUGCCAAAUUUUCUCAGAGAUGCUGAACACAGCUUUUGCUGAGAGAUUUGGGGGUAGAUCAUACCUUUUGCCCUGACUAAAUAAUAAUGUUUAAACAUUAUAUAUUUAAACAUUAUUAGACAUGGAAACAUCUCAGAGGGCACAAAUAUCAUCUUUAUCUGUAAGCAAGUUAUAGUCAUUACUAAAAGGAGAAGCUACAAAUUUCACAAACUCAAGUCAUGGCUCCUAUUAGUUUUUUAAAAUGCUUCAAAACCUCAUGCCGACUUGGUAGGAGGAGCCUGCCAAGUAAUGAAACUGGAAUUCACAUCUGCUUGGCCAUUUUUGUUACAAUGAUCCACCUGUUGUUAUGAGGGUCCAUGAUGUUGCACCUAAAUUCUGGCCCUCAUUUGCCUCUAAAGCUUAGUGUUCACUGCAUUAACUCCCAAUAUCCAAAUGACGAUUUAUGCAGAUCGUUUGCCCACAUAUACACAAAUUACACUGAGGAGCUUUGAUGAAGCUAAUGGAACUCAGAACUUUUCAAUUGAAAAGAUUCUUUGAAACAGAUUUUCCUUGCAAAGAAAUCCUUCUUGCUUUUGGGCAGUGGCAGAUCUAGGUUUCGUAGGGCCUGAAAUUUAUAUAAUUUUGAGAUCCCUCGAUAUCAAGAGCCCCCAACCCCUGGGCCAUGGACCAGGAACAGGGCCACACAGCAGAAGGCGAGCGAGCAAGCAAAGCUUCAUCUCUGCUUACAGCUGCUCCCCAUCGCUCACGUG
rnacentral:lncRNA from 1 species